rnacentral:rRNA from 1 species
UACGGGGGGAGCAAGCGUUGUUCGGAUUUACUGGGCGUAAAGGGCGCGUAGGCGGCGCAACAAGUCACUUGUGAAAUCUCCGGGCUUAACCCGGAGCGGCCAAGUGAUACUGUCGUGCUAGAGUGCGGAAGGGGCUACUGGAAUUCUCGGUGUAGCGGUGAAAUGCGUAGAUAUCGAGAGGAACACCUGCGGCGAAGGCGGGUAGCUGGGCCGACACUGGCGCUGAGGCGCGAAAGACAGGGGAGCGAACGGG